UGUCGUCAGUUGUCAAAACGAAACUACGGUUGAUAUUCAAAUGCAUUAUUUUUCUCUUUCCGGGAUAUUGUUGUAGUAUGUUGAUGCUGCAUUAACAAAUAUAAGUGUAUAUGAAGUGAAAACACCAAAAAUAAACAACGGUUGCGAUACACUACAUAGACAUAUACGCUCUUUAGUCGUACCGAGCACAUAUCAGUGAAAGGGGGAAAAAUUACAUAUCUUUAGGGUAUGGGUAACCUAUGGUCUUUAAAAAUCGAUUAGGAAUUUAUAAAAGGUAUUUCUUGUGUUAGGUUUAAGAAAGAAUGUCUCAAAAUAUUGUAAAAAAAACAACAUUGAAACUAGCGACAGCUCCCUUGCAAGGAUAUUUUGGAUCUCCAAAAAGGAGGUUUUUGCGAAGAUCAAUAUUUCACGCUGCAGAAACAGAACAGAACUUUAAAGUUUGGCCAUGCCCAGGAGGGAGUGACUGAGUUAUGGGGUGCAGAAGAAGCACAAGCCAUCUCGACAUGAUGAAUCAUCCCCAACAGCGCUUGAGGAUGGUUUCCUGCUCAAUGAGGAUGAAUCCAUAACUGAGAACUGAGGAUGAUACUUCUCUCAACACUGCAUUGUAUGAAGACAAAGCAACUCAGUGUGGUUAGUCAUCGUCAACAACAGAACCAGACUCAGCUGACGUUGGAGACUGUCAAGUUGAGAUCACUGUGCCUAUCAGGAUUGAGUGUUACAUACUGAACGAAGUGAUCCAAAGCAAUUUAUUGUCAAUACGCACGCUAGAGACCUGGACAUUCGCUUUUUUACAUUCAGAUCAAAGCAUGGCAAAACAUAUUUAAGGAUGAAAGUAUGUGUUAAUGAAGCAGGACACACUACUGAACAUGUUCAUGGUUAGGAAGUUGCCCAGAACCAUUUUUUGUGGGAACAAAUUUCUAGUGAUUAUCUUUUUGCCCUUUAGCUCACCUGAGCACAAUGUGCUAAUGGUGAGCUUUUUUGAUCGCCUUUUGGCAGUCGUGGAGUGCGUGUUGUGUGGCGUCAACAUUUGCCUUGUAAACAAUCUUGAGGCCACAUUAAUUGUCCAAACUUCAUGAAAUUUGGUCAGAACAUUUUUCCAAAUGAAAUCUUGGACAAGUUAAAAAAUUGUUCCGGUUUAUUGUCCGUCAUCAUGAAACUUGGUCAGAAGAUUUGUCAAAAUGAUAUCUUGGGCAAGUUCAAAAAUGGUU